rnacentral:other from 1 species
UAAAUCCUGAAGCAUACGAUACGGCUUACUUAAAUUCAACCGACAAAUGUUAAACGGGAGAUCGAGUCUAAUUACAGAUAAUAGGCCUUAAACUUUUAAGGAAAUUAGAAGUAAUUAGCAGAUCACCCACCUGGGAGUAUCUCGGGUCUGAAUUUAUGGAGCCACCGAUGUUUUGGGUUUAUA